rnacentral:rRNA from 1 species
UACGUAGGGUGCAAGCGUUGUCCGGAUUUACUGGGUUUAAAGGGUACGUAGGCGGUGCAGCAAGUCGGCGAUGAAAUACCGGUGCUCAACACCGGUGCUGUUGCCGAAACUGUUGCACUUGAGUGGCAUUGAGGCAGCUGGAAUGGGCGGAGUAGCGGUGAAAUGCGUAGAGCUCGCCCGGAACACCAAUUGCGAAGGCAGGUUGCUGAGUGCCAACUGACGCUGAGGUACGAAAGCGUGGGUAGCGAACAGG